ACGCUGGCGGCGCGCUUUAUACAUGCAAGUCGAACGAGAAGCCAGAGCUUGCUCGUGGUGGGAAAAGUGGCGAACGGGUGAGUAACACGUGAGGAACCUGCCCCAAAGACUGGGAUAAGCCGAGGAAACUUGGUCUAAUACCGGAUACCUUCUUUUAUCACAUGUUAAAAAGAAGAAAUGCUCCGGCGCUUUGGGAUGGUCUCGCGACCUAUCAGCUUGUUAGUGAGGUAAAAGCUCACCAAGGCAUCGACGGGUAGCUGGUCUGAGAGGAUGUCCAGCCACAUUGGGACUGAGAUACGGCCCAAACUCCUACGGGAGGCAGCAGUAGGGAAUCUUGCACAAUGAGGGAAACCUUGAUGCAGCGACGCCGCGUGCGGGACGAAGGCCCUAGGGUUGUAAACCGCUUUCAGUAGGGACGAAAGUGACGGUACCUACAGAAGAAGCCCCGGCCAACUAUGUG
rnacentral:rRNA from 1 species